rnacentral:lncRNA from 1 species
UUCUUCUUUCCCUGCGCGGCUCGCUCGCCCGCACACCGGCCACCGAGGAAUCCGGAGGUGGUUGUGCUAGUCAUGCAACCCGCGCCCACCUUCUCGGACUCAGCCUGGGUAUAAUACCAUACCUCCCCUCGCCCCUUCGAUCCGCUCCAUGCCAGCACCUAGGAACUUGGGCCGGAGCUUGGCGUUCCGCUGUUCGCAGCCGCGAAGGAGAGCUUGAAGACACCGCCGCACCCGUAUUUGGUCUGUGGUGCCGUUCGGCUCCCCUGCUAUGGGCAGAGCGCAUCAUUUGCGAGUGAGGAACCUGGACAGGGCGACUCCGGGGGCGGUGAACCGGUGAGUCUCAGUGAAUUGCUCGCCGGCGACACAUCGCCACCGCGGGUAUGCGCUACAAAGUGGAUAGGGCCUCGCACCGCGUGAUUCACGGUAAGGACUCCUUCCCCCGACUCGCGUUCAUCUCUAUUUCGUGUAGCCUCGUCCGAAUCUGGGUUUUGGGGCACCAGUGCCAUUGGCGGCUUCCGCCGGCCAUGGCCGCCGCCGGGGUGGGUCUACGAUGUGGCCUGUGCCGCCGGGAGGAUAGGGAUGAUGUCUGGGUCGCUUGAUCCGAAAGCAAGGGCCAAGAUUAGAUCACCGUGUAAUGUACUAGCAUCGUUAGAUUUGAAUUCGAUGUACCGGUUUGCAGGAGAUGGGGAUCGAAUCUGGUCCGUGUGAUCUUGAUCCGGAGUAUGUGGAUCGAUUUCAGCUACUUAAAACCUGGGUCGUAGAUCUUAGAUCCAUGGGCUAGCAGCUUUUGCGGAUUCAGAUCUAAUCGGAUCUGUUGAUUUAGAAUCUAACGGCCCAGAUUGGACGAUACCUCUUCGCUAGGGCAGUUUAGCAUAAGAGCCCCUCGGUUAGUUCAGAAUGAACCCGCGGUCCACAGGGACUGUUCACAGAGUCUUAGAAACUUUUACGCUGUUGCCCUUGUCUUUUACAUAAUUUGAUGCCCAGCCCAAAGAUUUAUAAAAUUAAGUAAAAGUGAUUAGAAAAUGAUUUUUAAUGUUAAAAUAAAUGCUAGGAUGUGUUUAAUUCAUAGAAAAUUCAUAUGAUGUCUAAAUUAGUUCAUUCCAAUUUCUAUAAUUCUAUAAUAUUAUUGUUUAUCACAUAUUACCUCUGUUUUGACAUGAAAGUCACAUUAAAAUCUAUAUUCUAUUUAAUCAUGUACAAAACACCUAGAGUCUUUAGGAAUUCAUAACUUAAAAUCUAUAACUCCGAUUUGAUCCAUUCAAGUUUUGUUAGUCUCGUACAAGUAUUUACUACGCAGUAACAACAUUUAUUAUACCAUGUCUCAUUCUUUUCUAGUUAGAUCUUUAUUUAAUUUAUGUGGGUUAGUCUGGUUAAUCUACUUAUCAUUAUAAUCUACUAGGAGAUGAUCUAUGGUCAAUUCAUAACUUAGAUUAAAGUUGAGAUAAUUAUUUAUAGAAUAACCUCUCAUAUGAUUUAUAUCAACCAAUUUAUAAUAUAGUUUAAUAUUUUAAUCACAUCAUAACUUGAUGAUCACGACUCCGAUCUUAGUGGUUCUUGAACCCACGAUCUCGUAGCAACGCGUAGAUUAUUAUUAUUUAGUUUGUACUUAUGUUUGGUGUGAUGUUAAUUUUGUCUAUUCCAUGUUUGUUUGUAUUGCUACGAUUAGCAGUGAGGUCAUGAGAAUCUGAGGAUCAUCCUAGUGCCUGGAAUCUCAAGUGCCAGGCAAGUUGUGCCCUUGAUCACUUUUGUUUACCCAAUAAUGUUCUUCAAUAUCACUUAUUCAUGCAUAGGUUUAAUUUUGAUGGGACCCAAUAGAUCACCCUAGUCUGCUUAUCUUGUUACCUUGUUUAACCCUCAAUCACUUAGGUAGUUUUUGCUAUUGCUUUAUAUGGUUUUGGGUUAAUAUUUCAUUAUAUCCAUGUUCCAAUUAUUCUGUUAUUUUAUUUAUGUUCAUGUCAAGAUCAUUAUUAUCUUUAAUUGGAACAUGGAGCUUAACUUGAGAAACACGUGCCACCACAAGGGAGGAAUGGGACCCCUUGGCUAACUAAUUAGGAAAGCUAGUGGAAGACUACCUUACCCGAAAGGGGCAAGGGCAGUAGGGGAGUUGCAUGCAAGGAGGUUCUUGGGUUGAUUUUGCUGCGAUGGCGGUCAGAAGAGGGAUUCUUGCAAGUGCUCUUCCCAUAAAUUGUAACGAGUUUUUAGAAGCUAGUGGAACUUUGUAAAGGCCUCGUAGUGGAUCCCUAGCCAUUCACCUCGGUAGUGUCUAAGGGUCUUACAAACCCUGGCAACAUGGGAUGCACAACUUGUGGGUAAAGGGUACAACCUCUACAUAGUGUAAAACUGGUAUACUAGCCAAGCUCACGGUCAUGAGCAGCUCAGGAUUCUCGCAUGAUUAAUUUAUGGAACUUAAAUUCAAUUUGUCAUUUGCAUUGCAUGGGAUUAUGUAUUAAUUUUGUUCUAUUAUUCUUAAUACGGUUUGGUAUUUACUUACAUUUAGUAAUUGCUAAUAAAAUUUGACCAACUUAUUAAAAGCAAUGCUCAGCUUUAAACCCCUAUUGUUGAUCAGCUUUACACAUCACAUGAACUCCCGCCUUUUGUGAGUUCAUGCCACAUUAUUCCCCACAACUUGUUGAGCGAUGAACAUGUGUGAGCUCACCCUUGCUGUCUCACACCCCCCACAGGAGAAGAACAAGUGGUUCAAGAGGAGCCACACAACGAGAAGUUUGAUUCGAUCUAGGUGGCGUCUCCCAGUUGACUUUCUGGCGCCAAGGAUGGAUUUUAGAUCCUGUUAUAUUUAUCUUUUAUUUUGUAAGACUUCUGCUAUGUAAUAAGUACUCUGAUGUUAUUAUGACAUUUAUCUCUAUACACUCUGUUAUUAUAUAUGUUGUCUUCUUUGGCGCAUGUAUGAGAUGCACCCGGCUUUGUCCCUUAGAAACCGGGUGUGACAGAAGUGGUAUUAGAGGAAUGUUGAUUGUAGGACGAAACCUAGAUAGAACUGGACAACCCUUACUUACCUCUGCUACUCUGAUUCUUUUCUAAACUUAUCUUAAUCUUUUCUCAUCUAUUUCCACUUUACUCUGAUUAUUCUUACCUUUUCUCUUCUAAAUACAAAAGUGGAUUUCACACUUUGAAAUCCUGUGCCUAAAGUGACCUUUAGGAAUAAGAGACCUACUCUUAGGAACAAAAACAAAACUAUUUUUAUAGGUAUCUAUACGCUUGAGUGCUUGUUCUUAUGAUACUUGUUUGAUUUGGAUCUUUGAUUGAGUGCGAUGAGUUGUGGAGUAAUGUCCACAAUUACAUCUGCAUGUGCAUAAGAACAUAAAUAGAAUUCAUAAAGAUAACUAAACAACUUAGAUUAUCCUCCAUUAAAGUGUAUCUAUUUUAUAUAGAUCUCUCUUAUCUUAAUAGAUCCAUCUUAACAUAAAAGAUACUCUCUUACCUUAAUAGAUUCAUCUCAUCUCAAAAAGAUUUUCAUCUUACCCCAAUAGAUCUAACUAAAGAGUGAAAGGGAAAUGUGCCCUUGGGCCAUUUCUAAAAUGUUUUGGUGAUUAAGU